rnacentral:lncRNA from 10 species
GUGUCCAUCUGUUCAAAUUGUUUUAAACUGAUGGUUAAAAUUUUGAAUAUUACAUCUGAUAAUAUCUACAUUGUACUGACAAUGAAUCUGAGGAUCAAAAGGAAAGGUAAUAUCCAAAGUAGCAUAGCAUACAAACUCUGAGGCUGGGGUUUAGAUGAAGAACUGAUUAAAUCAAAAUACUUUUUUGUUUGUUUGUUUUCUGUGUCAUUUGCUCCUGUUAUUCUAAGAAACUAUGCCCUCUUUUUUUUUGUCUUUGAAAUUAGGAAUGCUUACUUGUUCUACUCUCUGUAUAUCUACAUCUAUAUCUGUGUCUCUAUGACAUGAUUCUUUUUCUUAUGAGGAAGAAGUCCUAGGUAACAGCACAAUUGUCUCUAAGCUUAAUGUUUAAUAAGUACAAAAAAAUCCUCCGGUAUAAAACAAAUUUCGGGGCCUAUAGUGCUUCACCUACAGGAAACGUGUAUAUCAUCUACUGUGGGUCCUAGUACUUUGUCUUACCUCAAGUGGACCCAGGAAACAAAUACCCACGCCCAAAAUACAACACUACUGAGAUAUGAUGCAGAAUCAAGACCUAAUAAUAAUUUCAGUCCAUGUGGGCCACAACACAAUUGCUACUAACUUGAAAAAUUUAGAGUUUAAAAUAUUGGCAGGGAGUGGGGGAGAAGUAUAAAGUAUACCUGUACUAGCUUUCUUUUUCUUAAGCAUGAGAAUAUUUUCUUAAACAUUUCAUUUGAUAUUAUUUUUUCCACUAUUCAAGGCUCUAAUGAAAUUUUACAUAGGUUAAACACAAAUAGCAAUCUACAGGAGGCCUUUAAUAAUCUCUCUCAUAAUCCGGUAUGCUCAUGUAAGUCUAUGAAUGUUGAAUGACAGAACUGAAGAUGCAUGCUUCCUUUUUAUUUAGAGAACAUUGGAAAAUAUAUACCUGGAGAUCCAAAAGAAGCCAAACUGAAUUCUAGAUUCAAAAGGCCAGGGGCAUCUAUUUUAGAGUGGAAAUUAAAAUAUUAAAAAUAUUAUAUAAUCUUGAGUUAGCAAACUAAUGACAGUUAGUGAUUUUAACAGGAUUAGAAAAGGAGAGUAGGAAGCAAAAAUCCGUUCUGGUUUCUUUAAAAGUUACAUUCCAGUCAUUAUUCUUACCAAAUAAUCAGAAACAUGUGAAUGAAUUAAAAAGUAGUAACACUUUUUAUAAUAAUACCUUUCUUGUGGUGAAAUUUAUUCAUUUCUAUACUGAAAUACCGACUCUUCAAAUCGACGAAGAACUUUGUUUCAUCAAUUCAUAUUUAAAGGAGUGAGCUAUAGCCAACUCUACAGGCUCAACUAAUUGGUUACUGCUGUAACAAGAUAGCAACAAGAAAAGCUGUUUGUAGCAGGGGCUUUCAGCAUCGGUUACAAAUGAAAUAACUAAUUUAAGCCUCCUCAGGCUCAUCACCAGCUGGUCAAUAUGGAACCAUACCUUCAGAGAGAUAAUGAGAAGAAUGGUGUUCUAGUUUAGUGAUCAACAGCUACACUCUGACCUAACCUUCACCAUCAAUGUCAAUAGACCACAGGAGCUCUCUAUUUUCUGUCAAAAAUCCUUAAGUUGGUUUGUACUGUCUGCCCAAAUACAUGUAUUUCUUCUUAGCAAAAGAAAAAAACAAAACAAAAGGCGAAGAUGAUGAUAUAAAUAAAAACAUUUAUUUUUUAAAGAAGACUCAUGAUAGAUUAUUUUUAAUAUAAUACAUUUUAAAAACAUUUUACCAUAGUUUCCAAAUCUGAGCUUAUAAUUUAGCUAGUUCAUGUAGACAGGAGAAGAGAGGAUUGUGAUCCUCUGUAUUUGUUGAUUUUUAAGAAGCAAAGCAAGUUUUUUGUUUUGUUUCUUGGCAGUAUUAAUAUUUUGGAAAAUCACCAUGGCUGCUAUAAAGGUGCUGUUGACUUAUUGAAAUGUGAUUGAUUCAGACCACUUUUAAAUGAGUACAUAUGACUAAAUAUAUAAAAUCCCUCCGCUGCCCACACACAACUUCCUCAUCAUUACUUCUGGUUAGUCAAAAGAAAGGUGAUCAAUAUUCUUUAAGACUACAAAGAAGCAUUUCUGUGGAUUUUGAUCUUCUUUGCUACUGGAACAAUGUCUCGUAAUCUUUAAUGUGCACAAGAACUGCCUGCAGAUCUUGUUAGAAUGGAGAUUGUGACUUAAGAGGUUUGGGAUAGAGCCAAUUAUUAUACCUAACUAACCUGCUCAGAAUGAAAAUGAUGCUGCUAAUCCAUGUAUCGCACAUAGGGUGGCAAAAUACUAGAGAACACAUCUGAGAAACCCUGGCUUCAUGUGAUGCUUUGAAUCCAGCUGACAGCUGGUGAGAAAUUUACCUCUGGAUGACUCAUGCCUUGAGUCUCACCCAUAUCUGACUUGAAUGAUAUUUAGAUGAAACUUUGGACUUAGACUGUAAAGUUGAUGCUAGGAUAUGGCGAUAAGGCACCACGUUGGAAGCAGACAGACUGGGCCUUCACCAGACACUGAACCUGCCUGUGCCUUGAUACUGGACUUCCAGGCUCCAGCACUGAGACCAUAAUCAUAACCCAGAAUCAAAUGGCACUGAAAGGUGACUCAAGAAGUUUGUAGAAGAACUCUGAUCAAGAAUUUUAACUCAGUUCAGGGGUCAAUAAUUUUUAAUGAGAUAACUGAAAGGAACAGUUUUGGGGGUUUGGAGAAAGGUAAAAUCAUAAUCACCAGGAAUUCAUUGCAGAACUCCACGUAAUUACUGUGAAGAGACUGAAGUUUUCAGGCCCCACUUGAAUUACCAGGGUCCCUUUAGAGUGAAAAAUGUAUGAAUCUCUUCCCUGGAGUUGUAGAGGACUUGGAUAUACAUUCUAGAAUAUGAAGAUUGAUUGAAAUUCUUAGAAGCAGAAAGUGGAAGAGAGAGACAAAGUGAGAAGAAAAAUAGCUGCAUGUUUCUAUUUUAUGCAGGGCCAGGCUUGGGCUAUUAUGAAUGUUGCUGAACACUGUUAAUCAAGCUUACACAGCUAUUUUGAUGGCAAACAAUUAGAACUCUGCAGCUCUACCUUGCAAUUAGCUUCAGGGAUACGGACCUGCACACCCUAAUAAUGAAAGAGACCUCCUUCAAGCACGUACUCCCUUGGAUUAUUCACUCUGGAGAAAAUCAGCUUCCACAUCAUGAGUGCUGUGAAGAGGCUCACAUGAGUGAACUUGGAAGAAGAUCCCCUGAGGCCUGGCAACAACCAAAUAAGCUUGGAAGUGUGCUCUUCAGCCCUGCUUGAGCCUUGACAGGAUAGCUGCAUGGACCAACUCACAAUUUGACCACAGCCUUAUGGGACAAAUGGAGCCAAUGACACCCAGCUAAGCCAUACCUAGAUUCCUGAUGCACAGAAACUGUAAAAUGAUAAGUGUUUGCUGUUUUAAGCUGCUAAUUUUGGGUAAAAUUUGUUAUAUGCAAUAGAUGACUAGUAGAAGGAUUAAAUGAGAUAAUUCACGUAAAGAACUUAGCAUGCACCCAAACAAUGGUAACUGUUAAUUGAACUGCUAAUAGUAUGGACCACACUUGCCUUUCCCUUUUCUCAAUUUUCAUAAAUAGAUUAAUCUAUAAUAAUCCUACAGCUAUAAUUUGAUACUUUAUGUUACUAAAGAAACUAGUAUAUACAUAUAUUUACAUAUACAUAUGUGCUUAUAUGUGUAUAUAUGGUUGCAUAUAUAUCUAUAUUUUUAUGUGCAUCAUAUAUGUAUGUGUGUAUGUGGUGUGUGUGUGUGUAUGUGUGUAAGUCUUUGAGUUCAAGGCUCUUUGGCUUUAUCUUAAGCACUGUGUUAGCUUAUACAAAAUGUGAAUUUAUUGUAUGAUGAAUAAAUUGAUGCUAGAUAGAAUGACACACUUUGAUCCAUUAGGCUUGCUUUAAGAAAAUUCUGCAAGCUGCAGAGCUGGUAUUUCUGGAAUCCAUUUGGGGUGACUGCGAAUUGGGUCAAAGGGAAUUAAACAGAUGGAAUUAUCUGGUUUCAUUUGAGUCAGCUGAGAAAAUAGAAAGGCCAGCCUCAAUUUCCAUAGUCAGCAGUAUAUAAUCUUUAAUUUUGGACAAAAAGAGAUAAUUAAAACCAAUUUAUAUUAUCAAAAAUGUUUUCAAAUACUAGUAAAUGGUGAGCCACAUACACUAAUCUUGAAAGCUUAGUUAUUGGGUAGGAAGGAUUUUGAAUUGCUUUGUGUAUGCUUUAAUUGUUGUCAAAAGGCUAGACUAUUGUCUAUGUUCCUUUUUUCAUCACAUCCAUUAGUUUAAAUAUUACAUGGUUGCACAAAUUAAAAUGCUACAGACAUUCAGUUAGAAACCUGGAGGCAAGUUUCUGACCUAAAAAGCACACAGAUUUGGUAGACUGACAGAUCUGGGCUCCAAUCCAGGUUUGGUCACUUACUAAAUUUGUGUCUUUGAGUAAAUGAUGUAAAUUUUCUUAACCUUGGUUUCUCAUUGUCUAAAAUGGAGAUAAUGAUAUUUG